AUCCAAUUAGACACACUUAUUGGAUGCCAUGUUUAUCUGAUAAUCAAAGUGGUGGUGUGGACAGAGAAGAUAUACAAUGUUUAGGUCAGAUUAGUCCUCACUUGCUACACUACCUCAGAACUGCCGUCAAAGUGAACCAGCACAGGACUCUCAGAUGACCUGCUACACAGCUUUGUUUUUAAAUUUACAAGGCAAAAGAACAUGGAGAACAAAGACAGCAGGAUGACAACAGAAUGGAACUCAACAAUGGAAAACAGAAAGCAAUCAGAUAGCAAACAAACAAGAACUGACAUGAAAACCCAAAAAGAAACUUUAAAAAGACAAAGGCAACUGAUAUGUCAAGCAAUGGAGGAGAUCGAACAACUCUGGAGACAGACAGAAAGAAAGACAAAUGAAAUUGACUUCUUAAAGACAAAGACAGAGGGGCAACAGGAAGACAUUGAGAGACUGACAUCUGAAAAAAAUAAACAUCACCUACUAUUAAAGCAAUUUAACUUCCAAAUAAAAAAUAUAACUGAGAAACUCAAACAAAGCAAAAAUUCAGUUGCUAAGGAAAAAACAAACUUUCUGAAAACGUGGACUAAAAUAUAUCAAGAAAAGGAUACUCUGGACAGAAGACGUCAAUACUUCAUCAACGAGCGACACAAGCUAGACACUAUAAAAGCUAGUAAGACAGAAUCACCAAUAAGGGAGGAACCCAAAGAGCCCCUUAAUGAGCAGGUAAAGCGGGAACUGGAUAUACUGGAGAAUGCAACUGAGAAAAACAGGGAAAUAAUGCUUGAAGUAAAGAAAGUUAAAGAAAAAAUGGAGAAAACUAAAGCAAACAUACAGCAAGCAUUAAAAAGAAAUAAAAAGGACAUUUCAAAAAACAGUGAACAAAUUAACCACAUUAAACAUAUUAUGUAUGUAAAGAUCAACAUGGUCAAGCACAGAUGGGCAAGCAUUAUAAAACAGGCUGAAAUGAAGAAAAUUCACAUGUAUAAAGAAGGACAGAGAGAAAGAAACGAUGGAAAAGCCACAUUUGACACAGUGAAGAGAAAACUGUGUAGAAUCCAGGAAGAGAUGGAGAAACUUUGGGAUGUGCUGGAAGACAGUGAACAACAACUGGAAGUGACUCAAAGUGCAAAGCAGCAGCUAAUGGCAGAGAACAAUCACAUGAACAUCAAGAUGAAUAUUGAUUAUCAAAAGCAACAAGAUUCAGAUCUAAGCUUUAAAGUGACACACAUCCAGCCUGAAAGAGAUGAUUUAAAGAGAGUUGAAAUGAAACUAAAGACAGGAAGGGAAAAUGUAGAAAAAGACAAACCAAAUACUUACAUGCAGAAUUUGAUCUCUGAGGAAGAAGAAAACAAUGAAGUGCUUUGUAACAAGGGUGAAGAAACAAAGCAGAGCAUGAGGGACUUUACAGAAGUAAAGGCUCAAACGAAAUGGACAAAUUUUCGAGAAAAGCAAAAAAGAAGGGAGCUUGAGCGUUUGCUGGAGAAGAUAAGGAAAGAGAGGGAUGAGUUAGAAAUCAUGAAGACAAAAAUACAGCGACAAAAGGAAAGGGUUGAACAAAAACUGGAAAAUACUGUCACUGAGAUAAAAGGUAAAAUAGAAAAAACUGGUGCAGAAAUGAACAACACUUGGGAGAAAAUGCAGAGAACCCAAAGGGAGAUUAGUAAGAACCAGGAAGAAGCCAAGAACUAUAUGGAAAAACUGACAUCCAUGAAAACUUGGGUCAACAAAUGGAUAUUGGCACAAUCUACAAUCAAACAUACUUUUUCAGUGAACGCAUCCAAACUUCAAGAAUCACAGUAUGAAAUAGACACAGACUCCCUUGAGGAUCAAACAUCAGCAAUUCCAAAGGACAAAAAAGGGAAAAAAAGUAUAACAGAUACAACAUCAUUACAAAAUUCUGUAACAUUAGAUGAUCAGCAUCAAAAUAAAAAAAUAAAAGAACAACAGAAGGAGCAUUUUGAAUCCAAAUAUUGUUUUGCAGAAGGCAAAAAUGGGGAGCAGGACUUUUGCUUACAGAUGCGAACUGAAAUUCAUGAAGAAGUAGUGCAUGAUAAAACUGAAUUACUGAUAAUUGUAAGAGAAAGGGAAGAAGUGGAAAAACUGAUACGUAACCUAAAGCAGCAAGAGGGGGAAAUAAAGGAACAAAUAAAGUACACUAUUGAUAACAUGAACGAAAAAACUCAAGAUAUAAAAAGGCUCAUUUUGGAAAUAAAUGACCUGCAGAGGGCAGACACUGUAAUUACAGUCGGGGAAACUGAAAAUGCCCAGGAAGUAUUAACUAAGCUGUUGGAAGAAACUGAACAGAGAAAGAUUUUGAUGCUGAACACCAAAGUUUUCAAAAAUGAAAUAAUAAAAUAUGAAGUACAAGAGGGGGACGAUGCCAAAAAAAUAAAACAAGAGUCUAGCUUGAUAAGGCUUAAUGUUAACAAGCAAAAACUAAUUCAGAAAUCAGGAGAAGAGAUGAAAAAACAUGUUGAACACACCGAUGAAGAUAAAAAGGACAGAGGAGCCGAUAUACAAAGACUCAGGGCAGAGAUUUACAAAACACAAGAGAUUAUAAGAACGCUAAGAGGAGGACUUGAGAACCUAGCGGAAAAAAAUAACAUGGACAAAUAUCAACAGAAUGAAGGCAGUGAAAUUGAAGGAUUGCUAAAAGACAUCAAACAGUUUCAAGAGUUUUUGGAAAUUGUAAAAACCAAAAUAAAGCAAAGUGAAGUACAUAUGACAGAAGAAAUGAGCAAUAUAAAAUCAAUGAAAACUGCAGUGAAAAAGAAGAGAAGAGAAUUAGAUCAAAGAUUAGAAAAUACUUUGAAAGAGAGAGAUGGAUUAGACAUCUUUAAAAUAAAAAUGCAGAGGCAAACUGAACUGAUUCGGCAGAAUUUAGAAAAAAUGGCAAAAGUUAAGAGCACAGUCGAGAAAAUAGCUGCUAAGACCAGAAGGAAAAUUGAAGAGAUAGAAAUUAGUAUGAAGGAGACUGAAAUAAAACUAAGACAGUUUAAAGACCUUGACUGCAUUAACCUUAACUUGACAAAAGGCGCAAAACCAGACAUGGAACAUGGUAGUACACCUAAGCAAAGAACUGCUCUUGAAAUUUUCAAGACUGAAAUUAAGAAGACAAUGGACAAUAAAAGAGAUAAACUGACAAAAAACAAAAUGGACAAAGAAACUGAGGGAACAGAAAGCCUCAAACAAGUUAAUGAGAAACUGGAGGAGGUAAAACUUUCAUUAGACAGUCUGGGUCAAAAAAAUAAAAAAUCAGUUAGUGAGAAUGUAAAACAAAUAAUCAAGAGAGAAGAGACUGAGAUGACAGAACAGAUCCAAACAGCGAUAAAGAAUGAGAAAAUGGUUAAACAGCUAACUGAAACAGAAAUACAGGAGGAACAGGUGAACCAUUUGAGGGAGAAAACUGAAAGAAAAGAACAGGAGCUUGAUGACGGAGUACACAUGACCAAAAGGCAAAUAAGAGAAAUGGAGCUGCUGCAAUCAGAAUUGAAAAUAAAGGUAAAAGAAUUUGAGCGUUUUUUUAGAAAAAGUAUGAGAAAAAAGGAGGAAAUUGAAAUAAUGUGGUAUGAAAUACAACAAGAAAAGGAAGCAUUGAGGACCGAGAUCAAAAAGAAAAGAAGAGAAUUAGACCAAAGACUGGAGAUGACUAUGAGAAAAAGGGAUGAACUAGAAGUGUUAAGGGUAAAAUUGAAACGACAGAUGGAAGAGCUGGCUGAGGAGAAGCAGAGAGACCAUAAUCUGUUCAUCCAUCUACCCAAUGAACAUGAAAAACAUUUUGGAAGGAAAGAUGUGAAAAUGUUAAUGGAGAAAAUCAAAAACCACAGCUUAAAAGUUUCUCAGUAUACUAUUUACAUCCAAGACAUAAGAGACAAGUUUAAUUUACACAUGGGAACAAUUAGGACAGAGAUGAAAAUUCUAGAAAAUGUGAAUGCUCAUUUAGAAAAGGACAAAAAAGGAUUCAGAGAAGUUGAGGCUGAAAAUAAGAAUAUAACAAACAAAAUGAAGAGGUUAAAAUAUCAGCUUAAUAUACUCUUUGGAAGAGUUACCAUACAAGACACUGCAGAGAUGGAUGAAACAAUCAACAUCUGGGAAAAAAUCCAAAGAGAAAAACAGAAGCUUGAUAUGAGACUAGAAAAUAUUAAAAGGGAAAGACAAGAGAUAGAAGUUCUGGUGGUUGAGCUGGAGAUGAAGAAAAGAGAAAACCAACGUGUAAUCAAAAGAAGCAUUCAAAAAGAACAGAAGAUAAAAAGAAUAUGGGCUACUUUCAAAGAAGAAAGAACUGCCCUCGUGAGAGAAACAAAGCAGAAAAAGGAGGUUGAACAACGACGAGAGGAGAUCAUCAAACAUCAAGGUGAACAAGAAAUAAAGCAGAAGUUGCAAAAAGAAAAGAAAGGGAUGCAAAGUGAAAUUGAAGACAUGAGGAUGAAAGAAAAAAGGAAACAAAUUCAAAAACAAUGGGAACUAAUCAAGAAAUACUUAGGGGAAUAUAAAAAGGUAAUUAAAAACACUCAAUUCAUCAUUGGAAUAAUUCAGAAUGAAAAUAAACACAUGCAAGACCAAAAAAAUUUCUACAUGACCAAAAGGAAAGAAACACUGAAUAUUAAAAGUGAAUUAAAUAGGCAAAAGGAAAUUAUACGGUGUGCAUUAAAAAACAUACAACAAGAGCCAAAACAUGGGGAACAAGUGGAGACAAAAAUCAAGACGGAGCAAGGAAAGCAUGAAAAUGAAAGGGAAAAAAUAUAUGAGAUAGAAAAAGAUGCCUUGGAUGACUUAAGUGCAGACGAGAGUCAAGACAAAGAGGAUCUUGAAAGAGUGAAAGAGUUGUUGAAAAAGAACCAGAAACUUGACAUGAGAGGCUGUAAAAUCAAAAAAGAAAUAGACAUAUUAAAACAAAAAAAUGAAAACAUAAAAGAGGAAAGGAAAACAACUGAAAUAAAAGAAACUGAAAAAAAAAUGAAACUGAAAGAUUUCAAUAAAAUGUUUUGGGGCAAACAAAAAGAAAAACACAGUACUGAGUAUCUGACUGUAAAGAAAGAAUAUAAAAGAGAAACGACUAAGGAUGGUAUAAAAAGGGUGAUCUUACAAGACACAAAACAAGACUUGAUAAAAAAAGAGAUAAAAAAAUGUAACCAGGAAAAAGAAAAAGUCAUCCAGAUGAAAACUAGACGUGAGAAUAGAAAAGAACUGUUGUUGAAGGUAAGGAGAAACAUCAAAGAUGAAGAGAAAGAGAUGGAAAUGAGAGGAGACCAAGUCAUGGAUGAAAUGAAAUCGCUAGAGAUUCUGAAAGUGAAACUUCAACAACUGAAGGGGGAUAUAAAAGCCAAAAUGGAGAGAUUACUACAAAAUGUUGACAACAGGUCAAGGCUGCAAACAGUGUUGGAAGAAAAACUUCCAACCCAAGACGAACUGAAAGAAAGCAUUCGCUGUUUCACUGAAAUGUUAGAGAGAGAAAAGGAAGGUGUGAGAAGUAUCCUUUCAGACAUGGUCACCAAGAGAGAAUGCACAGAAAAUGAAUGGAAGCAGCAGUUUGAACUGGACAAACGAGAGCUUGAUAAAGUGAAAGAAGAUCUGAGACACGACAGAGAAGAUCUGGAGAGAGAAAGUGAGGUGCUGAAUAAAGAGAAAAUGGAUUUGAAGGUGUUGAUGUCUGACAUCAUGAAACAAUUUGAAAUAUUGGAAGAAAAGAAACAAAAUAUAAAAGAAGAACGAGACUCAAUGGAAACCAUAAAGCUUGAACUGCUCAAUAAGAUGGAACAUGUAAACAGGCUGUUACAUGAGACAAAUGACGAAAAAGCCAAGAUUAAAAAUUGUAUCCUUCAGGUUCAAAUGGAAAAAGAAAGACUUGAAGACAUUUUAAGCAAGAUUUUCUUAACACAUAAUGAAGAAAAAGUCAAGGAAUAUGGCCUCAGAAGACAAACAAAAGAAGUGGAAAUCAUGAAAAAGGAAUUACAGAGUGAAAGAGCAAAAGUGGAGAGUCUGAUGAGGAAUCUGAAGAAGAAGCAAGAAGAGCUUGAACGUGCAAAGGAAAUCAUGAGUGGAGAAAAAGAAGAGAUGAAAGAGAUGAAGACUGACAUUGCCAAAGAACGAGAACUGUUGUUGAAGGAAAGGAGAAAUAUGGAAGAAGAGCGGUCUGAGAUGGAAAUGAGAGGAGACCAAGUCAUGGAUGAAAUGAAAUUGCUAGAGAUUCUGAAAGUGAAACUUCAACAACUGAAGGAGGAUAUAAAAGCCAAAAUGGAGAGAUUACUACAAAAUGUUGACAACAGGUCAAGGCUGCAAACAGUGUUGGAAGAAAAACUUCCAACCCAAGACGAACUGAAAGAAAGCAUUCGCUGUUUCACUGAAAUGUUAGAGAGAGAAAAGGAAGGUGUGAGAAGUAUCCUUUCAGAAAUGGUCACCAAGAGAGAAAGCACAGAAAAUGAAUGGAAGCAGCAGUUUGAACUGGACAAACGAGAGCUUGAUAAAGUGAAAGAAGAUCUGAGACACGACAGAGAAGAUCUGGAGAGAGAAAGUGAGGUGCUGAAUAAAGAGAAAAUGGAUUUGAAGGUGUUGAUGUCUGACAUCAUGAAACAAUUUGAAAUAUUGGAAGAAAAGAAACAAAAUAUAAAAGAAGAACGAGACUCAAUGGAAACCAUAAAGCUUGAACUGCUCAAUAAGAUGGAACAUGUAAACAGGCUGUUACAUGAGACAAAUGACGAAAAAGCCAAGAUUAAAAAUUGUAUCCUUCAGGUUCAAACGGAAAAAGAAAGACUUGAAGACAUUUUAAGCAAGAUUUUCUUAACACAUAAUGAAGAAAAAGUCAAGGAAGAUGGCCUCAGAAGACAAACAAAAGAAGUGGAAAUCAUGAAAAAGGAAUUACAGAGUGAAAGAGCAAAAGUGGAGAGUCUGAUGAGGAAUCUGAAGAAGAAGCAAGAAGAGCUUGAACGUGCAAAGGGAAUCAUGAGUGAAGAAAAAGAAGAGAUGAAAGAGAUGAAGACUGACAUUGCCAAAGAACGAGAACUGUUGUUGAAAGAAAGGAGAAAUAUGGAAGAAGAGCGGUCUGAGAUGGAAAUGAGAGGAGACCAAGUCAUGGAUGAAAUGAAAUUGCUAGAGAUUCUGAAAGUGAAACUUCAACAACUGAAGGAGGAUAUAAAAGCCAAAAUGGAGAGAUUACUACAAAAUGUUGACAACAGGUCAAGGCUGCAAACAGUGUUGGAAGAAAAACUUCCAACCCAAGACGAACUGAAAGAAAGCAUUCGCUGUUUCACUGAAAUGUUAGAGAGAGAAAAGGAAGGUGUGAGAAGUAUCCUUUCAGAAAUGGUCACCAAGAGAGAAUGCACAGAAAAUGAAUGGAAGCAGCAGUUUGAACUGGACAAACGAGAGCUUGAUAAAGUGAAAGAAGAUCUGAGACACGACAGAGAAGAUCUGGAGAGAGAAAGUGAGGUGUUGAAUAAAGAGAAAAUGGAUUUGAAGGUGUUGAUGUCUGACAUCAAGAAACAAUUUGAAAUAUUGGAAGAAAAGAAACAAAAUAUAAAAGAAGAACGAGACUCAAUGGAAACCAUAAAGCUUGAACUGCUCAAUAAGAUGGAACAUGUAAACAGGCUGUUACAUGAGACAAAUGACGAAAAAGCCAAGAUUAAAAAUUGUAUCCUUCAGGUUCAAACGGAAAAAGAAAGACUUGAAGACAUUUUAAGCAAGAUUUUCUUAACACAUAAUGAAGAAAAAGUCAAGGAAGAUGAACUCAGAAGUCAAACAAAAGAAGUGGAAAUCAUGAAAAAGGAAUUACAGAGUGAAAGAGCAAAAGUGGAGAGUCUGAUGAGGAAUCUGAAGAAGAAGCAAGAAGAGCUUGAACGUGCAAAGGGAAUCAUGAGUGAAGAAAAAGAAGAGAUGAAAGAGAUGAAGACUGACAUUGCCAAAGAACGAGAACUGUUGUUGAAGGAAAGGAGAAAUAUGGAAGAAGAGCGGUCUGAGAUGGAAAUGAGAGGAGACCAAGUCAUGGAUGAAAUGAAAUUGCUAGAGAUUCUGAAAGUGAAACUUCAACAACUGAAGGAGGAUAUAAAAGCCAAAAUGGAGAGAUUACUACAAAAUGUUGACAACAGGUCAAGGCUGCAAACAGUGUUGGAAGAAAAACUUCCAACCCAAGACGAACUGAAAGAAAGCAUUCGCUGUUUCACUGAAAUGUUAGAGAGAGAAAAGGAAGGUGUGAGAAGUAUCCUUUCAGAAAUGGUCACCAAGAGAGAAAGCACAGAAAAUGAAUGGAAGCAGCAGUUUGAAUUGGACAAACGAGAGCUUGAUGAAGUGAAAGAAAAUCUGAGACACGACAGAGAAGAUCUGGAGAGAGAAAGUGAGGUGCUGAAUAAAGAGAAAAUGGAUUUGAAGGUGUUGAUGUCUGACAUCAAGAAACAAUUUGAAAUAUUGGAAGAAAAGAAACAAAAUAUAAAAGAAGAACGAGACUCAAUGGAAACCAUAAAGCUUGAACUGCUCAAUAAGAUGGAACAUGUAAACAGGCUGUUACAUGAGACAAAUGACGAAAAAGCCAAGAUUAAAAAUUGUAUCCUUCAGGUUCAAACGGAAAAAGAAAGACUUGAAGACAUUUUAAGCAAGAUUUUCUUAACACAUAAUGAAGAAAAAGUCAAGGAAGAUGAACUCAGAAGUCAAACAAAAGAAGUGAAAAUCAUGAAAAAGGAAUUACAGAGUGAAAGAGCAAAAGUGGAGAGUCUGAUGAGGAAUCUGAAGAAGAAGCAAGAAGAGCUUGAACGUGCAAAGGGAAUCAUGAGUGAAGAAAAAGAAGAGAUGAAAGAGAUGAAGACUGACAUUGCCAAAGAACAAGAACUGUUGUUGAAGGAAAGGAGAAAUAUGGAAGAAGAGCGGUCUGAGAUGGAAAUGAGAGGAGACCAAGUCAUGGAUGAAAUGAAAUUGCUAGAGAUUCUGAAAGUGAAACUUCAACAACUGAAGGAGGAUAUAAAAGCCAAAAUGGAGAGAUUACUACAAAAUGUUGACAACAGGUCAAGGCUGCAAACAGUGUUGAAAGAAAAACUUCCAACCCAAGAUGAACUGAAAGAAAGCAUUCGCUGUUUCACUGAAAUGUUAGAGAGAGAAAAGGAAGGUGUGAGAAGUAUCCUUUCAGACAUGGUCACCAAGAGAGAAUGCACAGAAAAUGAAUGGAAGCAGCAGUUUGAACUGGACAAACGAGAGCUUGAUGAAGUGAAAGAAGAUCUGAGACACGACAGAGAAGAUCUGGAGAGAGAAAGUGAGGAGCUGAAUAGAGAGAAAAUGGAUUUGAAGGUGUUGAUGUCUGACAUCAAGAAACAAUUUGAAAUAUUGGAAGAAAAGAAACAAAAUAUAAAAGAAGAACGAGACUCAAUGGAAAUCAUAAAGCUUGAACUGCUCAAUAAGAUGGAACAUGUAAACAGGCUGUUACAUGAGACAAAUGAAGAAAAAGCCAAGAUUAAAAAUUGUAUCCUUCAGGUUCAAAUGGAAAAAGAAAGACUUGAAGACAUUUUAAGCAAGAUUUUCUUAACACAUAAUGAAGAAAAAGUCAAGGAAGAUGACCUCAGAAGACAAACAAAAGAAGUGGAAAUCAUGAAAAAGGAAUUACAGAGUGAAAGAGCAAAAGUGGAGAGUCUGAUGAGGAAUCUGAAGAAGAAGCAAGAAGAGCUUGAACGUGCAAAGGGAAUCAUGAGUGAAGAAAAAGAAGAGAUGAAAGAGAUGAAGACUGACAUUGCCAAAGAACAAGAACUGUUGUUGAAGGAAAGGAGAAAUGUGGAAGAACAGCAGUCUGGGAUGGAAAUGAGGGGAGACCAAGUCAUGGAUGAAAUGAAAUCACUAGAGAUUCUGAAAGUGAAACUAAUUGCGAGGAAAUCCCUGAAAGGUGAACUGUCUGAUGUACAACCCAGAGAGGACAUCCUCAGUAGUGUUACAAUCUCUACAAGAAACCUUAUAGGAAAACUAAAUAGACUGAUUCAUCAAGACUUGCCGACAUAUAUUAAGAGAGUAGAGGGGGAAAAUGAAAAAAUAUUACAAGUGAUCUCCACAUAUGAACAAAAUUGGGUCAGAAUUUAUAAGCAGAAAAUUAAAAUUACUGCAGAUUAUGACAAGAUACAACAACAAAAGAAACAUGUGUUUAAGACAACAUUUGACAAAGCAAUCCAAACUGAGGAUGUUGUAAAACAAUGCUUACAUGAGCAUCAGGAUGAAGAGACCAAUGAACAUGAAUUUAAGCAGAGGAUGAAGGAUGUUGCAGUUAAUCUUGAAGGAAGCAAAAGAUACUUGACACCUGACAAGGAAGGUCUGCUGUUAGUAGGAGAAGGUGAAGAAUUUGGAAAUGUCAAGAAAACAAAUCUUGCAACGUUGUCCAUCUUGUCAGCAGAGGAAGAUGACUUCACACAGAAGGGAAUUUUAAAAACUGAGUUUUUGAAACAAAUCUGGAAGGACACUAGAAUAGAACGAAAUGAAAUAAAUCAGAUGAAGCUCAGAGGUCAAGAAAUGAGAAACAAUAUGGAUAAAAGAGUAAAGGUGAUCAAUCAUUUUGUUAGGAGAUCAAUAUUUCAGAAAGAAAAGACAUCAGUUGAGAAAACAAGAAAAAUGUUGGAACAUGGGCAAAGUAAUACGUUUUUAUCUGUAAGUGGCAGGGAUGGAGAACACAAAUCACUUGAUGAAAAAUAUACCGAGCUCCAACAACUUAAGGUCCGCAUGCUUAGUGAGAUUGAGAAAUUCUACAUACAAAACAAAGCGUCUAAGACACUGACAACUAGCAACAAAGCUAAUCAAACAGUUCAACUAGAUUCUCCAAAUAUCUAUCAAGAGCAAAUAAAGGUAGAAGAAUCUGAAGCAGCACCAGAGAGAUCUCCUGGACUCCUCAGUCAGCUCAGACUUUCCUGUUAUCGCUGUUGCUCCCGUUAUUGUGCCUACUGCAAGCAAGGAUGUAUAAAGAAAAAAUGAGAGGCAAGAAAAGUGCUACAUAAAAAUCAGUCCAUUUACCUUUUGUUUUACUUUUUAGUUAUAUUAAUAUGUGUGUAUUUGGAAAAUGUGUUUUUCCCGUUAAUCAUAUUAACCUAACAACGUAAGAGUACCAGUCUGAUGUCAAUCAUCUAAUUUUUAAACAACUAGUUAUGUAAUGUAAAAGUAUUCCUUUAACAUGUUAUUUUUUUCACAAAUGCAAAAUAUUAAAGUUUAACAGAUAAUCUUAACAUUUCUAAUUACAUUUUUAUGCUGAUUUCUAAUUAAUCUUCUUUCAACAUAUUUAUUCUGUUGUCUUGUGUUAGAAUACAGAAGCACAAAGAAUACAGUAAAAUCAAAACUAACAAGAAUAUUUGAAAACUGUGACUCCAUAUAUAUUCAUAUUUAAAUGAAAGAAAAAUGCAUGUUUAACAUAAAUUUGAUCCCUAAAUAAAUCUUUUUCCAAAACCAUUCACAUCACUGCAAUAUUUUUCUUUUGGUAAAUUUCGAAUUAUAUAAGAA
ensembl:lncRNA